UAGGGAAUUUUCCGCAAUGGACGCAAGUCUGACGGAGCGACGCCGCGUGUGUGAAGAAGGCCUUCGGGUCGUAAAGCACUGUUAUUAGGGAAGAACAAGUCUAAGAGUAACUGCUUAGGCCAUGACGGUACCUAACCAGAAAGUCACGGCUAACUAAGUGCCAGCAGCCGCGGUAAUACUUAGGUGACAAGCGUUGUCCGGAUUUAUUGGGCGUAAAGGGAGCGCAGGCGGUGGUUUAAGUCUGAUGUGAAAGCCCACGGCUCAACCGUGGAAUUGCAUUGGAAACUGGGCCACUUGAGUACAGGAGAGGAUAGUGGAAUUCCAUGUGUAGCGGUGAAAUGCGUAGAUAUAUGGAGGAACACCAGUGGCGAAGGCGGCUAUCUGGCCUGAUACUGACGCU
rnacentral:rRNA from 1 species